rnacentral:lncRNA from 1 species
AAAGAUUAGGUCUAUUCAUUCUUUCUAACUAUUUUGUGUACCUUUUAAAAUUGAGGUUCAAAAGGAAGUUGUAAUGGUUUCAAAACAAUUGAGAUCAGGGAUCUCUAAAUGGGGCUUUGAGGCACCGGGAAACAUACCCUUACCCUAACCUGCAAAUGGGACUCUGAGAAUGUAAAUGCUUAGGUCAAGUUACCAACUAAAUAACAAAGGCUAAGCCCAGAUAUCAGUUCUAUAAUUUGAGGUGCCCCCACCAUUAUUUUCUCUUGAUCCUCAAGUUUCUUACUCUUUUUACUCAUUUCAAUAUUGUCCAGCUGUAGAUGAAUUCUAUUUUUAGAAGUUAGUGUGGUUACAUUUAAACCUAAUUUUCAAACUGACUUGCUUGAGAUCCAAAGCACAUUUUUAAGCGUCAGAGCUCUAGGAACAGAAAAUAGCAUCCCUGGGAUGACAGGAAGGAUGCCCUGUGCCUGGAGGAGGUCUCUCUCCAGGAUUCAGCACACCGUGGAGCUGUGGGAAGUGUGUUAUCUCUGUCAUGAGAGAGAAAGGAGUGGCUGGCUCAGCAAGAUUAGAGCCUCUCUCUGGAUUGUUCCUCAGAACCAGAAGAACUGUGUGGAGUGGCAGCAACUGGAGGAAGCAGAAUGUCCCCGAGCAAGAUUGUCAAGAGAAAAAAGUUACAUGUAUAAAAUCUACAGUAGAAUUGGAAGAUGGAUCUAAUGAGAAUAACACUAAGGAAACACCAUCCUUCAAAAACUAAAAGCUCCUUGAUGAGACAAGAAAAUGAAGUGUCCCAGAAGAGGAAAUGCACAUCAGCCAUUUUCAUUUCACGUGGGAAGAACAAUAUGAGACAAACAACCUAAGAUUAAAUGAAACCAGUUGGAUUGGAGAGAUGCAUUUACAUUUUACCACCUGGAUAAGUGUAUUUUCCUCUUGUGGCUUUAUAGGCUUGGGGGCUAUUGAAAAAUAUCUGUCUAUAAAUUGAAUCAACACUCAUUAAACUCAUUAAGAGAAAUGUAGUUAGGAAUUUAGUAUGGAAAGCAAGCCCUUCGUUUUUAUUGGAUUUUACAAUAGGGAGCACUCUAAGCUUUUAGACAUUAAGGCAGGAAGGGGCUAACUAUAGAAAUUACUCCAGUGUGGGCUUCGACUUUGGAGAGGCUAUGCUUCUCUAGAGAGAAUGUAUGCACAGCAGAAGAGUAAGAUGAGGCAGAUAUUUUAUUUCCUACACAUCCCAAAAUAAUAACCCUACUCUGAUUUAUCUUACCAUUACCCCAUUUUUUCUCCCCCUCAUCCACAACAGUUCUCUAACUCCUGCCUGGUUUUCCUUUAGUUUCAUAACUCUUCACAGAUGACUUUUGAAAAUAUUUCACUCUCUGCAGCCUGAUGAUGACGACGAAUAUUUUGCUGUAUGUUCAGAAACAAUAAAUUAUUAUAUAAUUAUCACUGUGCACAAGACAGAAGAAACCUAUCUCUUGAAAACAACACUUAAAAUAUUCACAUAAAAUGCAAAUUAACUGUCUUUUCAUAAGAGAAUUAUCUUUCUGUCCUGUAAAGUUCUUCCAGGAUAAAGAAUUUCCACUUCCAAAGUUUAUUUCCAAUGGUUUCAACUUAGCAAACAUGUAAACAUGUCCCAGGCUCCAGGAGCUAUGCUAGGUACUAUACAUAGUAUACAAGAGGGAAAGAGAGAAGGCAACUGCCAAUCUCUUUCUGGGAACUUUAUACCUUACCUUACUGAGGUACCAUUUACUAUGGAUUAAACAGAGUUAAAGAAGAUAACUAAUUUUUACAAGACAGUGACCUACCAUUUGAAUCUGAAUUUUCAAAAAUCCAUGAUAUUUUCCACUAUCCUAAAGUUUGAGACAACUCAGAAGGAAAUAAACAUUUGUACUAGGAUAAGUCAAAAUUCUAUUUAUCAGAAGUAAUCUUAGAAAGAGAGACUACUAUAUUAAUUUGGAAUUAAUUAUUUGAUAAGCCCACCCACACCCCAUACUAUUUCUGAUGGUUCUUUUGGUUUUUGAUAAGAUGGCAAGGGUGUAAAUGACAAGAAAAAAAAUGUGUUGUUCCUGGGAAGGAAAGGGGAAGAGGGUGAGCAAAAAACUUCUAAACCCUUUAGACUCCCCAGUGCAUUCAAGUUGGGCAUCUGUGAAAACACCUGAAAAACUUGAGCUUCAAGUCAUGACCAACCUGGAGGUAAAACAGACUCAGUUCAAGUGGAUCUGGGAAUUGAAGGGGCGGCUUAGAUUCUGCUGAAGUGUGAAUUAAUGUUACAUUUGAUUGAUUC